AAUGUGUCCACCAAUAGCCCGGAGCGAAACGAAAAUCUUUUUAAUAAUGGAUCUUCAACCGCCAAUAGUCCGAAACCAACUGUAAUAAAUAAUGUAGCUUCAUCCUCAUCCACGGAAAUCAUGACCAACAAAGGAAAAAGAAAGCGUUCUAGUAAAGAAGAUGACAACAAGAGUACUUUAGAAGAUUUAAGGAAAAAAAAUUAAAGCUACAAGUUACGUAUUAUGAAAUCCAAAAUCAUAAAAUCGCACUGGAAAUUUUUGCUCUGGAAAAAGAACACGGACUUGAAAAAUCCAGAUUUACACAAAAGUUUUAUAAAAAAAAAUUGCCUCUUGUUGAAUAUUCAAGCGAAGAAGAAUUUUAGUUAUGUUUUUAUACGUUUGAUAGUUUAAAUAAAGUUUAGUAUUUCUAUA
rnacentral:lncRNA from 1 species